UGUCUGAUUAACAUAGCAGCUGGAGAACCAGAACAGACAAAGGCUCUAUUGCCUACAUUACCUCUGAAUGUCCCUUGGAGAAAUCAACUUUCAUAGAGAAUGAGGUGGUUGCAGCAAAUCAAGGGAAUGGAACAAAGAGAAAGAGCCAGUUUCAACUUAAAUCUGUGGAGAGUUUUUAUUUGGGCUAGUAUAUAUCAGGAGGAGAAGAAUCUCAUAGACUUGUAUAUUAUCCUUCUCAGAUUUUCAAGGUAAAGAUAGUAUCAUUAUGGGAGUUAUGCUUGCCUUUUCCUUGUUUUUAUUGUCACUUUCUUAUUGUUAUGGAGUAUUUCUUUUUGAAUAUUCUUCUUUUUGUAAAUUUUGUAAGAAUCAUAUAUUUUACAGCUGAAUUGAAUGGAGCCUUGCUGCUACCUUGAGGUUGUGGGUUCAAUUUGAGACUAUUAUCACAUGUUUCAUUUGUGAUUUUAAAGAUUGUGAGAGUAUUUGAAUUUCCUUAAAAAUUCAGUUCUUUACUAUCUAUUUAGUUGGGUUUAAUAAUUCCAUAUUUGCAUUUGGACAGGUAUUCAAUCUUCCCAAUUUACUAUCCACAAUCUCAUUCAUUCAAUUGCUCUCUAAAUUCAAUUAGUUUGAUAAUGC